rnacentral:rRNA from 1 species
GAUGAACGCUGGCGGCGUGCCUAAUACAUGCAAGUCGAGCGAACGGACGAGAAGCUUGCUUCUCUGAUGUUAGCGGCGGACGGGUGAGUAACACGUGGAUAACCUACCUAUAAGACUGGGAUAACUUCGGGAAACCGGAGCUAAUACCGGAUAAUAUUUUGAACCGCAUGGUUCAAAAGUGAAAGACGGUCUUGCUGUCACUUAUAGAUGGAUCCGCGCUGCAUUAGCUAGUUGGUAAGGUAACGGCCUACCAAGGCAACGAUGCAUAGCCGACCUGAGAGGGUGAUCGGCCACACUGGAACUGAGACACGGUCCAGACUCCUACGGGAGGCAGCAGUAGGGAAUCUUCCGCAAUGGGCGCAAGCCUGACGGAGCCACGCCGCGUGAGUGAUGAAGGUCUUCGGAUCGUAAAACUCUGUUAUUAGGGAAGAACAUAUGUGUAAGUAACUGUGCCCAUCUUGACGGUACCUAAUCAGAAAGCCACGGCUAACUACGUG